rnacentral:rRNA from 1 species
CCAAUAGCGUAUAUUAAAGUUGUUGCUGUUAAAAAGCUCGUAGUUGAAUUUCGGGGUUAGUAGGUUGGUCAUGCCUCUGGUAUGUACUGGUCUCACUGAUUCCUCCUUCCUGAUGAGCCGUAAUGCCAUUAAUUUGGUGUUGCGGGGAAUUUGGACUGUUACUUUGAAAAAAUUAGAGUGUUUAAAGCAAGCUAACGCUUGAAUACAUUAGCAUGGAAUAAUGAAAUAGGACGUUCGAUCCUAUUUUGUUGGUUUCUAGGAUUGACGUAAUGAUUAAUAGGGAUAGUUGGGGGCAUUAGUAUUCAAUUGUCAGAGGUGAAAUUCUUGGAUUUAUUGAAGACUAACUACUGCGAAAGCAUUUGCCAAGGAUGUUUUCAUUAAUCAAGAACGAAAGUUAGGGGAUCGAAGACGAUCAGAUACCGUCGUAGUCUUAACCAUAAACUAUGCCGACUAGGGAUCGGAUGAUGUUAAUUUUUUAAUGACUCAUUCGGCGCCUUACG